GUGUUUGCUUUGGCAGCACAUAUACUAAAGUUGGAAUGAUGCAGAGAAGAUUAGCAUGGCCCCUGUGCAAGGAUAACUCACAAAUUCAUGAGGCCUUCCAUAUUUUU
ensembl:snRNA U6 U6 spliceosomal RNA